CAGUAGCCACGGGAAUACGAAGGGGGCUAGCGUUGCUCGGAAUCACUGGGCGUAAAGGGUGCGUAGGCGGGUCUUUAAGUCAGGGGUGAAAUCCUGGAGCUCAACUCCAGAACCGCCUUUGAUACUGAAGAUCUUGAGUUCGGGAGAGGUGAGUGGAACUGCGAGUGUAGAGGUGAAAUUCGUAGAUAUUCGCAAGAACACCAGUGGCGAAGGCGGCUCACUGGCCCGAUACUGACGCUGAGGCACGAAAGCGUGGGGAGCAAACAGGAUUAGAUACCCCCGUAGUCCCUGUCUCUUAUAC
rnacentral:rRNA from 1 species